AGGGAAAGUUGAAAAGAACUUUGAAGAGAGAGUUCAAGAGUACGUGAAACCGUUCAGGGGUAAACCUGAGAAACCCAAAAGAUCGAAUGGGGAGAUUCAUCGUCAGCUCAUUUUGUAUAUGUAUAAGUUAUGAUGUGGGUUACUACUUGUAGUAUUGCCUACACAUUCUUGUAUAUUUAGUUGCAAGAUGUUGUCGGCGUGCACUUCUCCCCUAGUAGAACGUCGCGACCCGUUGGAUGUCGGUUUACGGCCCAAGUGGAAGUUUUUAAUAUUUUAUUAUAUUAAAGGCCCUUGGUGUUUUCUAACCGGCUGUUCGGCGGUAUUCGUAUGGUAUUAAGCCGCAAAAUAUGCGUCCAUACCCGUCGCAAGCGAGGCAUAUUUUUAGUAGUACGGACCUAGUGCCGUCGCUGAAAGUGGCCAGCUGUUGGUUGUUACGGUGUUCUAGGACUGGCUAAUUUAUUACCGGUCGGCGAUGCUACUGCUUUGGGUACUUUCAGGACCCGUCUUGAAACACGGACCAAGGAGUCUAACAUGUGCGCAAGUCAUUGGGAUUUUUUUUAAAUUAAACCUAAAGGCGUAAUGAAAGUAAAGGUCGUCCUUGCGUCGACUGAGGGAGGAUGAGUUGUGUCAAGAUACAGCUCCGCACUCCCGGGGCGUCUCAUUCUCAUUACGAGAAGAGGCGCACCUAGAGCGUACACGUU
rnacentral:rRNA from 1 species